rnacentral:rRNA from 1 species
UGAGGAAUAUUGGUCAAUGGCGGGAGCCUGAACCAGCCAAGCCGCGUGAGGGAGAAGGCCUAUGGUCGUAAACCUCUUUUGUCAGGGAACAAAAGCGAGUAUGUAUACUAGUCUGAGUGUACCUGAAGAAAAAGCAUCGGCUAACUCCGUGCCAGCAGCCGCGGUAAUACGGAGGAUGCGAGCGUUAUCCGGAUUUAUUGGGUUUAAAGGGUGCGUAGGCGGCGGUGCAAGUCAGCGGUAAAAGCCCGGGGCUCAACCCCGGCGAGCCGUUGAAACUGCAGUGCUAGAGAAGGCGAGAGGUACGCGGAAUGCGCAGUGUAGCGGUGAAAUGCUUAGAUAUUGCGCAGAACUCCGAUUGCGAAGGCAGCGUACUGGCGCCUGACUGACGCUGAGGCACGAAAGCGUGGGGAUCGAACAGGAUUAGAUACC